AGGGCCGUAGCUCAACUGGUAGAGCAUGAGAAUACCCUCGCUGUUCACUUGCCCGCGUGGCGGGCCGAAGGCAUGGGGGUUAUCGGAUCUCCGCGUUGCGGGUUCGAGUCCCGUCGGCCCUU
rnacentral:tRNA from 1 species